GAAAUGCGAUAAGUAAUGUGAAUUGCAGAAUUCAGUGAAUCAUCGAAUCUUUGAACGCACCUUGCGCUCCUUGGUAUUCCUCGGAGCAUGCCUGUUUGAGUAUCAUGAAAUCCUCAAAAUAAAUCUUUUGUUCAUUCGAUUGAUUUUAUUUUGGACUUGGAGGUCUGCAGAUUCACACUCUGCUCCUCUUAAAUUCAUUAGCUGGAUCUCGAUGAGCUCGGUUCCACUCGGCGUGAUAAGUAUCACUCGCUGAGGACACUGUAAAAGGUGGCCGGGAUUGUUAAAGAACCGCUUCUAAUAGUCUAUUAGCUUAGACAAUUUUAUUUAUGAUCUGAUCUCAAAUCAGGUAGGACUACCCGCUGAACUUAAGCAUAUCAAUAAGCGGAGGAAAAGAAACU
rnacentral:rRNA from 1 species